rnacentral:rRNA from 1 species
GAUGAACGCUGGCGGCGUGCUUAACACAUGCAAGUCGAACGGACACAUCUUUCGGGGUGUGUUAGUGGCAGACGGGUGCGUAACACGUAGGUGACCUGCCCUAAAGUGGGGAAUAACUGUCCUAAAGGACGGCUAAUACCGCAUAUGUUCGGUGAUUCAGUUCACCGAGUAAAGUCGCAAGACGCUUUGGGAUGGGCCUGCGGCGGAUUAGGUAGUUGGUGGGGUAACGGCCUACCAAGCCAAUGAUCCGUAGGGGGCGUGAGAGCGUGGCCCCCCACACUGGCACUGAGAUACGGGCCAGACUCCUACGGAGGCAG